rnacentral:lncRNA from 1 species
CUGGCACACUUUGAGUCGAUCGGUUGGAUGCUGCGCAUGGGUGGAGGUAACUACUACCUUUCUCUUGUAGAUAGCACACUGGGUUCUGUCCUCACUGUAUAUACGAGGGACUUGGUCUGGCCCGGGUUGCGCCUGUAAGCUAAACAGCCGAUCGUAAAAGGGUGUCUUCUGUCAGUUGGCGUCUGUUCUGACUGAGGGAGUUCGCUCUCAGCUCUACGCACUGCGGCAGUAACCAGCCCAGGGUCAGACCUUCUCUGAAGAGAAGCACCCUUCAACUGGCCAGCAGUGACAACCACCGAACAGUGCCAACAAGGAACCACGCACAGGCAGCGCCGGAACAUCUGCAAGGCUGAAGCACCCAUCCUGAACGAUGGCUGGAUUCUGGAAGAUUGCUGGACAGCUGCUCUUGAACGAGAUGGUGAACCAAAUGGCAGAAAGUAUGUUAGAAAGGAUGGACCCUAAGCAGGCCAGGAUGUGCAAACUGCUCUGGAGACUUAGAGGUGCAGUCGGCAGGAUAAGUCUUACUCGGGGAGAAAUCAACAGAUUGAUGCAAGAGUUGACCCUUUUCUUGAAUAACGAAAAGGGUAACUUGGGGCAAAGUCUGAAGAUGAUUGUCGAGUCUUUGGCGGUGGCGAGGGAUGCUUUUGAGGAGUAUGAAGAGAUUCAGGAAUUGAUUGAUGACAUCAAGAGAGAGUGGAAAUAUUACCAAACUGGAACGUAUGAGUUCUGAAAGUUUAAGUCUUUGUACUGAUUUUAAUGAAAACGUUUACUCGUUCCAUAGUCCACUAAUUCAUUUACCAUCUGUAUUAAUGGAACCCGAAUAUAAAUAAAAAAAUACAAGGAACUAAUA